GUUAGGAAUAUUGGACAAUGGGCGAAAGCCUGAUCCAGCCAUGCCGCGUGAACGAUGAAGGCCUUCGGGUUGUAAAGUUCUUUAGCCGAUGAUUAUAAUGACUGUAGUCGGAAAAUAAGCCCCGGCUAACUUCGUGCCAGCAGCCGCGGUAAUACGAAGGGGGCGAGCGUUAUUCGGAAUCACUGGGCGUAAAGCGUGCGUAGGCGGUUUUGUAAGUUAGGAGUGAAAGCCCAGGGCUCAACCUUGGAAUUUCUCUUAAAACUGCAAGGCUCGAAUCUCGGAGAGGAUAGCGGAAUUUCCAGUGUAGCAGUGAAAUGCGUAGAUAUUGGAAGGAACACCAGUGGCGUAAGCGGCUAUCUGGACGAGUAUUGACGCUGAGGCACGAAAGCGUGGGGAUCAAACAGGAUUAGAAACCCUUGUAGUCC
rnacentral:rRNA from 1 species